AUGACGAUGCAUGCACGCCCAGCCCAGAGUCCAGCAUAUUUCCAGAGGACAGAAUAUCGAGAAUACGAGGAACCCAAGGGGCUCGAGCGCAAAGUGGCAAAGGGGUCCCGUUUGGGAAUCGGGACUUUGCUACGGCGCGGUGUACGCGACAACAUAAAGGGCAAGAUUGCGGCAGUGCGGAGCCCUUCUCACCUCCAUCCUCUGUUCUUCACUUUUUUCCAUCUGAGCCGUCCGAGUCUCUCCAAAUUUCCGGCCAGAAUGGGGGAAUCGAGCGCGCUUCAGUCCAUCCUCUACGACCGCGGCGCGCUUCGCCUCCUCGAUCAGAGGAAGCUGCCCCUGGAGGAGGUCUACAUCGAUGUCAAGGACUCCGCGGAUGGAUGGAAUGCGAUCAGAGACAUGGUUGUCCGUGGUGCUCCUGCCAUAGCCAUAGCGGCAGCACUAUCAUUGGCUGUGGAAGUUAAUGAUCACGAUUUCACUGGUACACCUGUGGAAGCAGCCUUAUUCGUUUCCAAGAAGUUGGAAUACCUUGUAUCCAGCCGGCCCACAGCAGUGAACCUGUCUGAUGCUGCUACAAAGCUUCAGAACUUAGUGUCAAGAACAGCUGAAACAGCAAAAGAUGCCAAAUCUAUCUUUCAGGUCUUUAUUGAAGCUGCAGAGGCUAUGCUAGUUGAUGAUGUGGCCGAUAAUAAGGCAAUUGGCUCGCAUGGAGCUGAAUUCCUUCAACGGCAGCUUGGAAGUUCGAGAAACAUCUCUGUUCUAACCCAUUGUAAUACUGGCAGCCUAGCAACCGCUGGUUACGGAACUGCCCUAGGGGUCAUUCGUGCUCUUCACUCUGGAGGAGUUUUGGAAAAGGCCUUCUGCACUGAAACUCGUCCAUUUAACCAGGGUUCCAGGCUUACAGCUUUCGAGUUAGUUCAUGACAAAAUACCUGCGACGCUGAUAGCAGACUCUGCUGCAGCUGCACUUAUGAAUAAUGGACAAGUUCAAGCUGUAAUUGUGGGUGCUGAUCGUAUAGCUGCAAAUGGUGACACUGCCAACAAGAUUGGCACAUACAACCUCUCAAUUUCUGCAAAGCAUCACGGCGUGCAGUUUUACGUGGCCGCACCAGUAACUUCGAUUGAUCUCUCCCUUCCGUCUGGGAAGCAAAUCGUCAUAGAAGAAAGAUCUUCAAAGGAAUUGUUGAACUCUGAAGGUGGUCUAGGAAAGCAAGUUGCCGCGUCAGGUAUACAAGUCUGGAACCCCGCCUUCGACGUUACUCCAGCAAGUCUAAUUACUGCAAUCAUUACAGAAAAGGGUGUAAUCACAAAGUCUGAUCCUAAUGGAAGUUUCGACAUCAAAGGUUUCAUCGAGUGUGCCAAGUGA
rnacentral:rRNA from 1 species